CCUACGGGUGGCAGCAGUGAGGAAUAUUGGUCAAUGGGCGAGAGCCUGAACCAGCCAAGUAGCGUGAAGGAUGACGGCCCUAUGGGUUGUAAACUUCUUUUAUAUGGGAAUAAAGCACCGUAUGCAUAGGGACUUGUAUGUACCAUAUGAAUAAGGAUCGGCUAACUCCGUGCCAGCAGCCGCGGUAAUACGGAGGAACCGAGCGUUAUCCGGAUUUAUUGGGGUUAAAGGGAGCGUAGGUGGCUUGUCAAGUCAGCUGUGAAAGGUCGGGGCUCAACCGUAGAAUUGCAGUGGAAACUGGCAUGCUUGAGUACAGGAGAGGUAGGCGGAAUUCGUGGUGUAGCGGUGAAAUGCGUAGAUAUCACGAAGAACCCCGAUUGCGAAGGCAGCUUGCUGCAGCGCAACUGACACUGAUGCUCGAAAGCGCGGGUAUCAAACAGGAUUAGAUACCCUAGUAGUC
rnacentral:rRNA from 1 species